UGCAGUAGAACGCUGAAGAGAGGAGCUUGCUCUUCUUGGAUGAGUUGCGAACGGGUGAGUAACGCGUAGGUAACCUGCCUUGUAGCGGGGGAUAACUAUUGGAAACGAUAGCUAAUACCGCAUAACAAUGGAUGACACAUGUCAUUUAUUUGAAAGGGGCAAUUGCUCCACUACAAGAUGGACCUGCGUUGUAUUAGCUAGUAGGUGAGGUAACGGCUCACCUAGGCGACGAUACAUAGCCGACCUGAGAGGGUGAUCGGCCACACUGGGACUGAGACACGGCCCAGACUCCUACGGGAGGCAGCAGUAGGGAAUCUUCGGCAAUGGGGGCAACCCUGACCGAGCAACGCCGCGUGAGUGAAGAAGGUUUUCGGAUCGUAAAGCUCUGUUGUAAGUCAAGAACGAGUGUGAGAGUGGAAAGUUCACACUGUGACGGUAGCUUACCAGAAAGGGACGGCUAACUACGUGCCAGCAGCCGCGGUAAUACGUAGGUCCCGAGCGUUGUCCGGAUUUAUUGGGCGUAAAGCGAGCGCAGGCGGUUUGAUAAGUCUGAAGUUAAAGGCUGUGGCUCAACCAUAGUUCGCUUUGGAAACUGUCAAACUUGAGUGCAGAAGGGGAGAGUGGAAUUCCAUGUGUAGCGGUGAAAUGCGUAGAUAUAUGGAGGAACACCGGUGGCGAAAGCGGCUCUCUGGUCUGUAACUGACGCUGAGGCUCGAAAGCGUGGGGAGCGAACAGGAUUAGAUACCCUGGUAGUCCACGCCGUAAACGAUGAGUGCUAGGUGUUGGAUCCUUUCCGGGAUUCAGUGCCGCAGCUAACGCAUUAAGCACUCCGCCUGGGGAGUACGACCGCAAGGUUGAAACUCAAAGGAAUUGACGGGGGCCCGCACAAGCGGUGGAGCAUGUGGUUUAAUUCGAAGCAACGCGAAGAACCUUACCAGGUCUUGACAUCCCGAUGCUAUUUCUAGAGAUAGAAAGUUACUUCGGUACAUCGGUGACAGGUGGUGCAUGGUUGUCGUCAGCUCGUGUCGUGAGAUGUUGGGUUAAGUCCCGCAACGAGCGCAACCCCUAUUGUUAGUUGCCAUCAUUCAGUUGGGCACUCUAGCGAGACUGCCGGUAAUAAACCGGAGGAAGGUGGGGAUGACGUCAAAUCAUCAUGCCCCUUAUGACCUGGGCUACACACGUGCUACAAUGGUUGGUACAACGAGUUGCGAGUCGGUGACGGCAAGCUAAUCUCUUAAAGCCAAUCUCAGUUCGGAUUGUAGGCUGCAACUCGCCUACAUGAAGUCGGAAUCGCUAGUAAUCGCGGAUCAGCACGCCGCGGUGAAUACGUUCCCGGGCCUUGUACACACCGCCCGUCACACCACGAGAGUUUGUAACACCCGAAGUCGGUGAGGUAACCUUUGGAGCCAGC
rnacentral:rRNA from 1 species